CAAUGAUACACUCUCUCACCAUCUCCUUCCAUCCUCCUCCCUUUAGUCCCUCCCUUUAGUACCUGACUUAUCCUGCCCCUGUCCAGUUAAGUGUUGGAAAGUUUGGGAGAUGUGAACUCUGAUAGAGAAAUAGAUCAACCUCCACGAACAGUUGAUGUCUUUCAGGUUGGUGUAUUGGGGCGGCCUGUUCUGUCCUCAGACUAAAGCAAGAUAGAUGAUGUUUAAAGCUCACUAUGGAUCUACAAACAGUGUCAACUUGAAUUUGAGUGUGGCUGUGGAAGACUGAUCCCUUCAUGAUGUAUGCAAGUGGCUGAGUACCAAUGAUCUCCAUGAUUCCAUCCCAUCAAGUUCACAGCUGCAGCAAACAGCCCAGCAAAAUGGCACACCAAUUGGCCUUCAGCAUGACAUAUCAACUGGCCAGCAACAGGUCACAUCAAUCAGCCAAAGAGUCUGGCCACCUGUGUUUAGACUUCCAGGAUUUCCAGCCGUAUUCAAAUUAAAAUGGGGAGGAAAAAAUUGCGACGAUCUCCAUCGCCCUACUGUGCACUCGAAGUGGAGGUCUCAGAUUGUGCAGGUGUUGUUCGAACUUCAUGUGUACCUGCACUUGGUGAGUAUAGUUAUGUAGUACACCGAUCUUAGCUUA
rnacentral:lncRNA from 13 species